rnacentral:rRNA from 1 species
GAUGAACGCUGGCGGCGUGCCUAAUACAUGCAAGUCGAGCGAACGGACGAGAAGCUUGCUUCUCUGAUGUUAGCGGCGGACGGGCGAGUAACACGUGGAUAACCUACCUAUAAGACUGGGAUAAAUUCGGGAAACCGGAGCUAAUACCGGAUAAUAUUUUGAACCGCAUGGUUCAAAAGUGAAAGACGGUCUUGCUGUCACUUAUAGAUGGAUCCGCGCUGCAUUAGCUAGUUGGUAAGGUAACGGCUUACCAAGGCAACGAUGCAUAGCCGACCUGAGAGGGUGAUCGGCCACACUGGAACUGAGACACGGUCCAGACUCCUACGGGAGGCAGCAGUAGGGAAUCUUCCGCAAUGGACGAAAGCCUGACGGAGCAACGCCGCGUGAGUGAUGAAGGUCUUCGGAUCGUAAAACUCUGUUAUUAGGGAAGAACAUAUGUGUAAGUAACUGUGCACAUCUUGACGGUACCUAAUCAGAAAGCCACGGCUAACUACGUG